AUUGAACGCUGGCGGCAGGCCUAACACAUGCAAGUCGAACGAGUGGCGGACGGGUGAGUAAUGUCUGGGAAACUGCCUGAUGGAGGGGGAUAACUACUGGAAACGGUAGCUAAUACCGCAUACCAUCGGAUGUGCCCAGAUGGGAUUAGUUAGUAGGUGGGGUAAAGGCUCAACCAGGCGACGUUCCCUAGCUGGUCUGAGAGGAUGACCAGCCACACUGAGGCUGAGACACGGUCCAGACUCCUACGGGAGGCAGCAGUGGGGAAUAGUGCGCAAUGGGCGCAAGCCUAUUGCAGCCAUGCCGCGGGUAUGAAGAAGCCCUUCGGGUUGUAAAGUACUUUCAGCGGGGAGGCGUUACCCGCAGAAGAAGCACCGGCUAACUCCGUGCCAGCAGCCGCGGUAAUAC
rnacentral:rRNA from 1 species